GAGUCGUGGCCGUAGUUGGCAGCCUCGUGAAAUUUGAGCAACGUCUUUUGCGUUUCCGCGGGAUCGACCAAACGCGAUGCCCGACCUCGUCGGUCUGAUUUGAACAUGCGUUCAAUGGCGGAUCUAUUAAAUUUAAUUGAUGGAAUUUUCUACCGGUGAGUUCCAGUCGUCUGAAAAUUCCUUGAAUUUCAGUCACGAAUGAGACAGUCAAGGACACUCAUGGCGAAUACGUUGAGCUGCGCAGAGUUUGGCUACUGAAUGUCAAAUUUUCUGAAUUCUAAGUGUACUCACGUGGGGUAAGGGGUAUUUUCCGGUCCAAGACAUGAGGUCAAUCCCGAUAGAGCGUCGCCAUUGAGGUAUUUUAAGCCGGCACCUUGACACGAGCUUAGCUCGCCGUUGACCAAGCCCGAGAGACACGUUAAGCUGAGAAUUGUCAAGUAGACAACAAUUGCCAUCUCUGAAACUGUGAGGGAUGGGGAAAAAGAUCAUUACGGGUUUGAUGUGGUAAUCAAUGUCCAUGCACAAAUAGAUAGUAGGGUACAGGGUAUGUAGGUAAACGGAUAACUGGGUAGUCUCUAAUUUGGAGAUGAUCGAGAGCUUCUAGCAAGUAACGGGCAUGUCCAAGGUUAAAACCUGAUGCUGCAGAGAAGGGUGAUGGUUCAUGGAAGUUGGUCAGGUAACGGAACACGCGUCUGUGGCAUGCAGCAAUAUAAACCGAAGGGUCAUUUUAUGUCGGGCUAUUCCACAAAACUGGUUCUUUGUCAAGAAGUUGCUCAAGCGGCUUCCGCCUGAUGUCAUUCGCUAUGACAGAUUCGACGUUGGGAAAGGACGCAUUCCUACCCAACUUACGCGUACCACUACCAAUUAGUGUACUGUUCAUAAUGUUUAGCCGGUUUAAGGUGUACAAAAAAAAAAAAGUCUAUAGAAAGGAUGUAAUACCGUUAAACAACAUUCAUCAAUUGUUAAAGAAUACGAUCGUUGUUGAAUGGAGAAUCAACGGAGUUCGUUGGUUUCCUCCUUCCUGGUUUUAACUUUUUUUCCCCCUUAUUCCGCCAAGAUUUAAAACAUUCAGAGAGGGUCAAGAACCAAGAGGUCAAUGUCACAGUUUGACACGCGUUCUUUUCUCUCAGUGAUCUUUGUCCGAUGUUGUUUGCUAGGCCUCUAAGAAACCAGGAAAUCAAGUCUUUUGGAUAUUGCCCUCUUCCCACCCAUCUUGUAAAUUUAAAUUCGUCUUUAAAAAUUUUUGUUUUAAGAUGAAUUUAAUCAUAACACCAUGCAGCACACAAGUGGAGAAAAUGUGGGAUAUAUGUUUUACCUUUAAAAAGUCGGUUGUCUAUAAUGUUUGGAAGCUGGGCUAGAAGGUGACCGGUAAACACUCGACUCAAGGCUGGACGAUCAUCCAGUUUCCAAAUAUUAAAAAUGAUAACGCGCGUUUCAACACGACAAGAGUGGCAUAUCUGAUUUUUGCGUCAAUCAAAAUGUCUUGAGAACUGAAAAGUAAACGUAUUUGUCUUCUU